rnacentral:rRNA from 1 species
AUCCCUGGGCUCANGAACGAAACCCGCUNACCGGGUGUGGCUGGUAGGUAUUGUGUGUAGGUCGGGAACGAGGAAAGGCCCCUUUCGGGGGUUAAGUACAAGUGGGCGGAACGGGUGGAAGUAAACAACGUGGGCCAAUUCUGCCCCUUCGCAUGGGGGACAACCCGGAGGAAACUCCGGGCUAAUACCCCAUACGCUGGCGAACCCGCAUGGUUCCGUAGGAAAGGGUAGCUUCGGCCAUCCGGCGAGGGAUGAGCCCGCGGUACAUUAGCUAGUUGGUGGGGUAACGGCCCACCAAGGCAACGAUGUAUAGUUGGUCUGAGAGGAUGAUCAGCCACACUGGGACUGAGACACGGCCCAGACUCCUACGGGAGGCAGCAGUCGGGAAUCUUGCGCAAUGGGCGAAAGCCUGACGCAGCAACACCGUGUGAGCGACGAAGGCCUUCGGGUCGUAAAGCUCUGUUGUUGGGGACGAAGGGCGAGGGGUUAAUAGCCCUGAGCUUGACGGUACCCUUCGAGGAAGCCCCGGCUAACUACGUGCCAGCAGCCGCGGUAAUACGUAGGGGGCGAGCGUUGUCCGGAAUUAUUGGGCGUAAAGAGCGUGUAGGCGGUUCGGUAAGUCUGUCGUGAAAACCCAGGGCUCAACCCUGGGCGUGCGGUGGAUACUGCCGGGCUAGAGGGUGGUAGAGGCGAGUGGAAUUCCCGGUGUAGCGGUGAAAUGCGCAGAUAUCGGGAGGAACACCAGUAGCGAAGGCGGCUCGCUGGGCCACACCUGACGCUGAGACGCGAAAGCGUGGG